rnacentral:tRNA from 1 species
GCGCUUUUAGCUCAAUGGAUAGAGCGUUUGAUUCCGAUUCAAAAGGGUAUGAGUUCGAUUCUCAUAAAGCGCUCCA